UCUUUGAUGGUCCAGCGGCUGAGACAGUGCACUUCCAAUUCAGGAGACCCAGGUUCAAUCCCUAGUCAGGGAA
rnacentral:tRNA from 1 species